rnacentral:rRNA from 1 species
UACGGAGGGUGCAAGCGUUAUCCGGAUUCACUGGGUUUAAAGGGUGCGUAGGUGGGUCUGUAAGUCAGUGGUGAAAUCUCCGGGCUUAACCCGGAAACUGCCAUUGAUACUAUAGGUCUUGAAUUAUCUGGAGGUGAGCGGAAUAUGUCAUGUAGCGGUGAAAUGCUUAGAUAUGACAUAGAACACCAAUUGCGAAGGCAGCUCACUACGGAUAUAUUGACACUGAGGCACGAAAGCGUGGGGAGCAAACAGG